UACAAAAAUACUACAUUUGAAAAAGGAUUCUUGAAAGUGCAGUACCUUUGUGUGACCACAAGAUGUAGGUGUCACAUAACCUAUGAACCUACCCUAUGUUAAAAUCAUACACACUUGUAAAGACUGUUGUACGGUCACAUUGGAUUUGAAAGCAACAUCCUUUCUUCCAUACAUCCACGCUACCUGAAAGACGACAGCUUCCUGAAUCCAACGAUACCAGAUAUGUGCACAUCGGACCUCCGCUUCAAAAGAUACGGCCAGAUACUACAAAAAUACUACAUUUGAAAAAGGAUUCUUGAAAGUGCAGUACCUUUGUGUGACCACAAGAUGUAGGUGUCACAUAACCUAUGAACCUACCCUAUGUUAAAAUCAUACACACUUGUAAAGACUGUUGUACGGUCACAUUGGAUUUGAAAGCAACAUCCUUUCUUCCAUACAUCCACGCUACCUGAAAGACGACAGCUUCCUGAAUCCAACGAUACCAGAUAUGUGCACAUCGGACCUCCGCUUCAAAAGAUACGGCCAGACUGUUGUACGGUCACAUUGGAUUUGAAAGCAACAUCCUUUCUUCCAUACAUCCACGCUACCUGAAAGACGACAGCUUCCUGAAUCCAACGAUACCAGAUAUGUGCACAUCGGACCUCCGCUUCAAAAGAUACGGCCAGGUAAGCUUUGGCCAAUCAGAUCGCAUAUGCUAAUGAGGGUGGAAUUAAUGAGGGUGAAACUCGUUUUUAUCUAUAUACCUAGUUGCAAUUAACCCCAGACUAGCCCCUAACCCUAAC
ensembl:lncRNA